rnacentral:rRNA from 2 species
CCUUGUACACACCGCCCGUCACACCAUGGGAGUGGGUUGCAAAAGAAGUAGGUAGCUUAACCUUCGGGAGGGCGCUUACCACUUUGUGAUUCAUGACUGGGGUGAAGUCGUAACAAGGUAACCGUAGGGGAACCUGCGGUUGGAUCACCUCCUUACCUUAAAGAAGC